AUGGCUUCUUGCCUUUUGGCCAAGAUCAAGUACACUGUCUGUUCUUAUCAGUUUAACAUCUGAUAUGUCCUCUAUCCAAGGACAAUUAUUAAAUGCGUUUUUGGAGCAGGAGGUUGGAAUAGGAGCUUUGUGCCCACUCCACUCAUAGCCUGGCACUGCAGUAUUUCCAGGAACAGUGAAUCCCUU
rnacentral:snRNA from 1 species